rnacentral:rRNA from 1 species
UACGUAGGGGGCAAGCGUUAUCCGGAUUUACUGGGUGUAAAGGGAGCGUAGACGGCAGAGCAAGUCUGAAGUGAAAGCCCGCGGCCCAACUGCGGGACUGCUUUGGAAACUGCCCGGCUAGAGUGCUGGAGAGGUAAGCGGAAUUCCUAGUGUAGCGGUGAAAUGCGUAGAUAUUAGGAGGAACACCAGUGGCGAAGGCGGCUUACUGGACAGUAACUGACGUUGAGGCUCGAAAGCGUGGGGAGCAAACAGG